rnacentral:lncRNA from 1 species
GGCCUGGGCGGCGGGGCCUGGGCGGCGGGGCCUGGGCGGCGGGGCCUGUGCUGGUGCAGAAGCAGUCCUGCAGGCCUGAGCGUGGGAGCCCAAGAACGGAGCGAGGACACGUCAUCCGUGCCUGAUUCUGCAGGUUGGAAGUGUGAAAUCAUCGUGUCGGCAGGGCCUCACUCCAUCUGGAGCUUCUAGAGGAGGAUCCGUUCCUCACCUCCUCCAGCUGCCCGUGGCUCCAGGCAUUCCUUGGUUUGCGGCCGCAUCACUCCACUCUCUGUCUCUGUCUUCACAUGGCCUUCUCCUUUGAGUCUCCUCCCCUCCUCUUACCAGGGGAGGAUUUAGGGCUCAAUCCUAAUCCAGGAUGAUCUCUUCUCAAGAUCCUUAACUUCUGUAAAGACCCUUUUUGCAAAUAAAGUCAUGUUCACAGUUUCCAGCGGGCAAUCUUUUGGGAGACUGCCAUUCGAACCACUGCACCUCUCCCGUUUCAAAUUUGAAAAACACGCCACACUGUAGGGCCUGGGAUCUGGCUUCCUACAGCCAACAAGGGGACAGGCAAAGCAAGCUGGAUGUGUGAGGAAGUAACUCCCAACUGACGAAGCUUGACCAAUGGAAAACAAGAGAAAGAAGAAACCAGGGAGAUGAAUCUCGCCCUCCCUGGCCCUCCUCCCACCCCGCUGAAGAAGGCUUACAUGUUCCAGCAAGCCUGCCAGCCAAGCUGCCCAGCUCUUCCAAGCUCUUCCUGAAGACAACGCCUUCACCCCCUUCUUCUUCCCUCACCUCGCUUCCCACUGUGGCUCAUCCACACCUCCCAGGGCUUGUGCUCUCAAAUAAAUUGUUAGCACCUUAUUCCCUGUCUCAAGCUUUGUUGUCUACAGGAAUCAAGCUACAACUCUAGCCGCCUAUGCCCUGAGUUUCCAUUGAACGGGAAGUGGCACCCUGAUCUCCUCAGAUACGUUCUUGUUUCCUGUGCCCCUUGUUUCCCACCACAGCUGAUUGAGUGAGAGGUCUGUAGGCUGCCUCCUGCCCUGUUGGAAGCUGUGUGAUGGACACAGCCAGCAGAGUGAGGAGAAGCAGGAAGGCCGGG